rnacentral:rRNA from 1 species
CAGCAGCCACGGUAAUACGGAGGGUGCAAGCGUUAAUCGGAAUUACUGGGCGUAAAGCGCACGUAGGCGGUUUGUUAAGUCAGAUGUGAAAUCCCCGAGCUUAACUUGGGAACUGCAUUUGAAACUGGCAAGCUAGAGUCUUGUAGAGGGGGGUAGAAUUCCAGGUGUAGCGGUGAAAUGCGUAGAGAUCUGGGGGAAUACCGGUGGCGAAGGCGGCCCCCUGGACAAAGACUGACGCUCAGGUGCGAAAGCGUGGGGAGCAAACAGGAUUAGAUACCCCAGAGUCCCUGUCUCUUAUACA